AAAAUGAUCAACAAUUUCAAGCAAUCAAAUCUGAAUCAGAACAGCUAGUAUGAAGACCUACGCUUGUCAAUUACAAUUUCAAAAUUCACCAACAGCUUCACUUUGCCAAUUUCACAAGCUAAACCGGAAAAUUCUGCAUCAAGACUUGCACCAGUAAAAUUCUUGCUUCAACAAAAUUGAACCAAUUUAGUUUACGCACUUUGCUUUCUCUAUCUCACUUUUCUUGCAUUCAAUGAGGCAAUUUUAAUUAAAUCUCUGGAUCAAUACACCAACCAAUUAUGCGCCGAAAUUUUACUCAAUUAAGCAUUGCAGUCGUAAACACCAAUUAUGAACCAAAUGAUGCAAACAAUUCAAGUCAUCAUACUACAUCACAACAUCGUGAUCAAUUCAUCAAACAGUUUCAAUGCACAAAAUUAUACCACCAAAUUUUACUAAUCACAAGAGAAACUGCACACCAAUUUCGAAACCAAUCACCGCUGCAUCAAUACCAGCAACAUCAAGGGAAACACCAGAAUUUAUUAAAAAAAAUUGAAUGAAUCUAAUUUUUUUUUUAAAUUCAAUUAGGCAAAUAAACCUCCACUACACACAUGCAUACUCCAGCUGCUGCCAAAAUUUAAACCACAGAGGAAUUUAAGCAAACAACUUAUCUGCAGUUCUUGUUUACGUAGCAAAACCAAAAUUCUCACUAAACAAUACGAACUCCAGCUUCAAUUGAUUUUGGUUCUGCACUCCAAACUGCUCUGUUCAACGCAGAUGCUGAUAUGAACGAUCGUGUGUAGAAGCGUCUAGGUCUUCUCGUAAGAGAUUUCGAAGAACGAUUAGGCUUUGGACAAAGGGAACCUUUAGGUGGCUUCCGAUUAUACCAAGAACAAGAACAAUGAUAGAGAAUUGAGAAAAGGAAACAAACUGCAUAUAUUAUUCAUAUAUCAAAUAAUAGUUCAAUACUUUAUUUAUAGAGUACUAAAUAUCAUAAAAUCCCAAUAAAAUCCUAAUAAAAUCCUAAUAAAAUCCUAACUAAUUAAAUAAAUGAUAAAAUCCUAAUAAAAUCCUAAUAAAAUAAAUAAAUGAUAAAAUUCUAACUAAUUAAAUCUUAACAACCCAAUAAUAAUAUUAAUCAAAUCCCAAAACUUUAGCGUAUAACAGAUGCCAAAUUUCAUUCUAAUUCUAGAAAUCAUUUGAAUGAAACACGCACCGAUUCAAAAUGAACAAAUUGCAACCCACAGUUCACCUAUUCUCCGAUUAAUCUUCUCCAAAAUCGCUCCACAAUACGAAGAACAAUGAACGCAAAAGGUAGAACCAAAAAUCUUCGGAAUCGGAAGUGAAAGCAGAAGAAGAACUUACAUGAAUCAAUUCAUUCUUCACUACUUUAAUUCUUCGAUUUUCAAUUCACCAGACCAACUCGAUCGUGAUUCAAACAGAUUUCUCCGGUCGUCUUCUCCGUUCACCGAUUUCACUGGAAAACGCCACUGUCGUUUGCGAUUCCUUCGUUCAC
rnacentral:lncRNA from 1 species